AUUGAACGCUGGCGGCAUGCCUUACACAUGCAAGUCGAACGGCAGCACGGGUGCUUGCACCUGGUGGCGAGUGGCGAACGGGUGAGUAAUACAUCGGAACGUACCUUAUCGUGGGGGAUAACGCAGCGAAAGCUGUGCUAAUACCGCAUACGCCCUGAGGGGGAAAGCGGGGGAUCGAAAGACCUCGCGCGAUUAGAGCGGCCGAUGCCUGAUUAGCGUGUUGGUGGGGUAAAAGCCCACCAAGGCGACGAUCAGUAGCUGGUCUGAGAGGACGAUCAGCACGCGGGGGCUGAGACACGGCCCAGACUCCUACGGGAGGCAGCAGUGGGGAAUUUUGGACAAUGGGGGCAACCCUGAUCCAGCAAUGCCGCGUGGGUGAAGAAGGCCUUCGGGUUGUAAAGCUCUUUUGUCAGGGAAGAAACACCGGCUCUAACACAGUCCGGGAAUGACGGUACCUGAAGAAUAAGCACCGGCUAACUACGUGCCAGCCGCCGCCGUAA
rnacentral:rRNA from 1 species